rnacentral:rRNA from 1 species
AGGACGAACGCUGGCGGCGUGCUUAACACAUGCAAGUCGAGCGGUAAGGCCCUUCGGGGUACACGAGCGGCGAACGGGUGAGUAACACGUGAGUAAUCUGCCCUCCACUUGGGGAUAAGCAUUGGAAACGGUGUCUAAUACCUGAUAUGACUCAGCUACGCAUGUGGUUGGGUGGUAAAGUUUUUUCGGUGGGGGAUGUGCUCGCGGCCUAUCAGUCUUGUUGGUGAGGUAAUGGCUCACCAAGGCUUCGGACGGGUAGCCCGGCUGGAGAGGGGUCGAACCCGGGCCACGACGUGGGACUAGGACGACCACCGGGCCCAGACCUCCGACGGGGAGGCCAGCGAGGUAGGGGAAUGUAGGACAAGUGGGACGGAAGCCUAGACUACCAGCCGAACGCCCGACGGUAGAGGG